rnacentral:rRNA from 1 species
CCUACGGGAGGCAGCAGUGAGGAAUAUUGGUCAAUGGACGAGAGUCUGAACCAGCCAAGUAGCGUGAAGGAUGACUGCCCUAUGGGUUGUAAACUUCUUUUAUAUGGGAAUAAAACGUUCCACGUGUGGGAUUUUGUAUGUACCAUAUGAAUAAGGAUCGGCUAACUCCGUGCCAGCAGCCGCGGUAAUACGGAGGAUCCGAGCGUUAUCCGGAUUUAUUGGGUUUAAAGGGAGCGUAGGUGGAUUGUUAAGUCAGUUGUGAAAGUUUGCGGCUCAACCGUAAAAUUGCAGUUGAAACUGGCAGUCUUGAGUACAGUAGAGGUGGGCGGAAUUCGUGGUGUAGCGGUGAAAUGCGUAGAUAUCACGAAGAACUCCGAUUGCGAAGGCAGUUCACUGGACUGCAACUGACACUGAGGCUCGAAAGUGUGGGUAUCAAACAGGAUUAGAUACCCCUGUAGUC